CACCAAAGCUUACGGACCAACUAAGGACGGGAUGCCUAGGCGCGUGCCUUCCCUGAGACACAUUUAUUCAACAAACAUAAUAGGAUGGAUUGAUAAACAAAUCCGCAAUCAACUCACAACUAUUCGGAGGAUGGGAGAUCGACGAUACGACAUGGCUUUUCAAGUGUGGCUGCAAGCUCGGGCUCAAACUUGAAGAUCUUUGUACUAUUUAAAUUCUUGAAAACAGUUUUCAGAUUUUUUCUCGGCAAAACGUUGUACUAGUUGUAAAAACGAUAUUUUUCUUUUAAAUAUAAUUUAACAUUAAAUUCAAAAAAAUAAAAAAGACACAUUUAUUACUUAGUUUAUUUAGAUGUUGAAACACAGUCCAGCACAACCGGUAUAUACGCAUGAAAAGGCCUUCGAAGAACAGUGAGAAGGUAUCAUCCAUGCACCUUACUCCAGUAGAUAAAACCAGAAGAUUCACAGACAAAAGCAUAGUUUUGUGUUAUAUAUCCUUCAAAAUCAAUGUUAUUAGACCCUGGAUUCUGUGAAUAAGAAAGGCACAAUCAAACUCAUUAUUAUUAU